GGUCUCCUGGUGCUUACCACAGGCUGUGUUUUUACACUGACUGUAUAGAUAAAGAGGAGGAAAAGUAAACCUACCCCAUACAUACGUCAGCCUAAGCCCUGUGCUGGUCUGUAUUGUGAAUGGGAAGACAUGC
rnacentral:snoRNA from 1 species